UUAUAAUCCACAACCAGUACAAAUUUCACUAGAAAUCUGGUAUACACUUUCUAUCAACAAAUUAUUAUAGUUUCAUAUCCGUCCCCUUUAUAACUUUUUUGUCUGAAAUAGGCCUUAUGUAUGUUUAUGUUGGAAUUUAUUAUCAAAUCAUGAAUAUUGCACACUUUUGUUUUUUUUUACCUUGAACAGUCAACACCCAUACUUUUGGAAACCAUGAAUACCUAGAGUUUGCGACUAUUUUAAACUUAUAUUCGAAAAGCAUAUUUUGGUAUACCAGCAAUAUGAAUAAAAUGAAUCAGACAGCAGCCCAACAACACAAAUAGCCAAAAGAAAUGUAGACUUCAACAUAUGAUCUUCAACAAUAGACAGUUCUGUACAAUACUUCAAGCUAAAGAACUCGGGCUUUUUAGAGAAAAGAGCACUUCUGUGGUUUUGUGGAAGCAUGCUCUUCACAAGGUUGGGAGUAAGGGGGUUUGAGCCCCUGUCUGAUCAAACCAAAUACUUUGAAAUUAGUAUUUUCUGCUUUAAUGCUUAGCAUACAACAUUUACAAGGUACGGCAAAGACUAGUUGGCUCUGAGUCAGUAAUGAUUUUUUUGUGAACAAGAAUUUUUAAAAUCCAGCUUAGCAUGUCAUUAUAGUACUCUAGUACAAAGUCAAAUUCAUAUUCAUAUAACAUUAAUGGUAUUGUCCUUAUAUGCAUGUAAUACUUGCCACUGGACAUUAAACAUGACUCCAUCAUCACCACCUUAGUGAAUUUUCCUGUCAAAAGUAUUUGGAAUCAUCAUCAUGUAUAUACAUAAAAAAAAUGAAAAAAAACAUUUGUGUCUGUAUUUUUAUCUGUAUUUUAUUUUUCAUUUACAUGUUGCACUGUUAAAUC
rnacentral:lncRNA from 1 species